CUGUCGGAAUGUGCCCGGUUAUGCACUGUCUUUCGAGUCGGUGUCUUGACCGUGCGCUCCCGGCAAACACAACGAACCCCGGCGUGAAUUGCGCCAAGGAAAUAUAAAGAAGGAUCAUGUCCCCGGCACCUUCGUGUCGGACAAGGGCGUGUCAUCUUUGAUGUCUUUAACGACUCUCGGCAACGGAUAUCUCGGCUCUCGCAUCGAUGAAGAACGUAGCGAAAUGCGAUACUUGGUGUGAAUUGCAGAAUCCCGUGAACCAUCGAGUCUUUGAACGCAAGUUGCGCCUGAAGCCAUUCGGCCGAAGGCACGUCUGCCUGGGCGUCACGUACCCAAUCGCUCCCCAAAACCUCCCACAUCUCUAUCGAUUUGUGGAGGGCUAGGAGGGCGGAGAUUGGCCUCCCGUUCUGUAACGGCGCGGAUGGCCUAAAAGCAAAGCAUCGAGCGACGAAACGUCACGACAAGUGGUGGUUGAUAAAGCCCUAGCGGCAGCCUCAUCGUGUCGUGUGCGUCCAGUCGCGUUCGAUAGCCCAACGACCCCUACACGUCUCGACGAAUUCUGUCGCGA
rnacentral:rRNA from 1 species